AUUGAACGCAGGCGGCAGGCUUAACACAUGCAAGUCGAGCGGGGGAAGGUAGCUUGCUACCGGACCUAGCGGCGGACGGGUGAGUAAUGCUUAGGAAUCUGCCUAUUAGUGGAGGACAACAUCUCGAAAGGGAUGCUAAUACCGCAUACGUCCUACGGGAGAAAGCAGGGGAUCUUCGGACCUUGCGCUAAUAGAUGAGCCUAAGUCGGAUUAGCUAGUUGGUGGGGUAAAGGCCUACCAAGGCGACGAUCUGUAGCGGGUCUGAGAGGAUGAUCCGCCACACUGGGACUGAGACACGGCCCAGACUCCUACGGGAGGCAGCAGUGGGGAAUAUUGGACAAUGGGGGGAACCCUGAUCCAGCCAUGCCGCGUGUGUGAAGAAGGCCUUAUGGUUGUAAAGCACUUUAAGCGAGGAGGAGGCUACUUUAGUUAAUACCUAGAGAUAGUGGACGUUACUCGCAGAAUAAGCACCGGCUAACUCUGUGCCAGCAGCCGCCGUAAUAC
rnacentral:rRNA from 1 species